CCCGCCGGCGACCGGCGCACGGGUGAGUAACACGUAUGCAACCUGGCCGCCACAGGGGGAUAACCCGCGGAAACGCGGCCUAAUACCCCGUGACGCCACCGGAGGGCAUCUCCGGUGGCCAAAGGAGCGAUCCGGUGGCGGAUGGGCAUGCGGCGCAUUAGCUAGACGGCGGGGUGACGGCCCACCGUGGCGACGAUGCGUAGGGGUUCUGAGAGGAAGGCCCCCCACACUGGGACUGAGACACGGCCCAGACUCCUACGGGAGGCAGCAG
rnacentral:rRNA from 1 species